rnacentral:lncRNA from 1 species
AAAAUAAGCUGAUUCUAUAGGACAGAAAAAGGAAGAGGGCAGGGGUCAUAAGGGGAUGUAAGCAUAAGAUACCCAAGCCAGAAACAGCAACCCUUCCGGGUCCCCUUCCCCCACGUGGAAGCUUUCCUUUCACUUUCGCUUUAAUAAAUCUUGCCGCAGCACACUCCCUAAUCGAGCUGUAACACUCGCCGCUUCAUUCCUUGAAGCCCGUGAGACCACGAACCCUUCGAUUGAGAAGAACCUUCGGUCGGAAGAAGACUUCUCGUCUCAGUAACAAUAACAAGAAAAACAGCCUAGACUAGACGCACAUCAGGAAGACAGUUAAUCCCUUCAUGUAUUGACCCGGAAACAUAAUCUCAUUUGCCUAUAAGACAGAGAGAGAGAGAAUAAUAGAAAUGCUGGAAGAACGAGCCUUGGGGCGGUAUCGCCCAGAUCUGAAUCCACACAGCAGCUGCUUCGGUCCCUGUAACUCAAGGCUUCCUCUUAAUCCUCUGUCCUCCAUCAACACCUGGCUGAGCAGGAACAACUACGACCUAGGACCAGGGCCUUCAGGAAUCUUCACCCCUAACUUGAACUUCAUAACACUGGAGAGAGAGACUGUGGAAUGGAAUGACUCUCCAGAGCUGCAGAUUGAAGGUGUAUUUUCAUCUGACUUUGAUCUCAAUGGCGGGAACACCUUCAUGGCCCCUUUAUAGCUGGAUGAUCAUUUCCUGUUCUCUCCACCAUGGCCACCUGGUCCAAGCUACCAUCUUCUUGCACCUGGAUACCUGCCAUAACCUCAGCUGACCUUUCCUGUGUCCAUUCUUGUUCCUUUGGGCCCAGUCUCCUCGCUCAUAGCAGUAGAAUGAGUCUAUUAAAAAGUGAAACAAUUUCUGUCA